AUUGAACGCUGGCGGCAUGCCUUACACAUGCAAGUCGAACGGCAGCGGGCCUUCGGGUGCCGGCGAGUGGCGAACGGGUGAGUAAUGCAUCGGAACGUGCCAUUGAGUGGGGGGAUAACGUAGCGAAAGUUGCGCUAAUACCGCAUAUUCUGUGAGCAGGAAAGCAGGGGACCGCAAGGCCUUGCGCUCUUUGAGCGGCCGAUGUCAGAUUAGCUAGUUGGUGAGGUAACGGCUUACCAAGGCGACGAUCUGUAGCGGGUCUGAGAGGAUGAUCCGCCACACUGGAACUGAGACACGGUCCAGACUCCUACGGGAGGCAGCAGU
rnacentral:rRNA from 1 species